CUUAGCCUUAAGAUGGAGUCCUUCCUGUUCUUACUAUAUUGUUUAUAUCUUGGCAUUUUUCAUCACAGGCAGGAAAAGUUCGUGAUGCUCGUCCCAGGUCCCUGCCCUGCUCCAGGGCCAACUAUACUUUCCUACCCGGAAGAGAGAAUGUGUUGACUGCCACAGCUAAUCAACUAGGACAACACACGCUCAUUUGUGUCACAGAUGCUCCCAGAAUGUCUCCACUUUGGCCUUACCAGCAUUUGCUCUUCUGGCAAGAGUACCAUGUGGAUAUCCUUCUUCCCUGCUUCAACCCCCAUAGCAUCAAUGAGGGGGACUCCAAUCCCAGCCCAGACAUUCCUGUGGCUGACAACAGCAUCAUUUGUAUGUGAAACACUUUCUCCAUCUGAUAGUCUCUCAUGGAAACACUUGCACAGAAGCUAUAUAGAGCAAAUGCUAUUAUCCUUGUUUUAUUAAUGAGAAAAAUGGAGACACAGAAAAGCAAAUGAUGUUCAAGGUCUGGGACAAUAUCCAAGACUUCCAACUCAAUGCCGUUUUUGGACCCUGUACAUUUCCCAAGUGAUGCUAAAAGUGAAGUGGUGCGAAAGACCCAAGACACUGUGGAUGGUGUCUGAUGAUGCCAUUCUGGACCCUUCCUGGCCUCACGGCAUAAAAAUCUGCUUUUGCUUUGUUUGACAUGAAGUCCUUUUGCUGUUGAGUAUGAAAACUCCGUCUCCCCUAAUAAAUGCACACAACAGAGACCAUCACCCAUCACGGUUGGUGCUGAUCCCACAGACGAUGGCCUCUCACCAAUCAUAGUCACCAAUCAGGGUCAUGGUCCGUAGUACCAAAGACUCAGUGAAAAAGACACCGGAGGCUGACGCCCACCUCAUUCCCCAGAGCAGUCAGAAGUCCCUGCGGGCCUCUGGCAGCCGCACAGGGUUAGCGGUGUGGGUGGUGGGGAAGUUAGGA